rnacentral:rRNA from 1 species
UACAGAGGGUGCAAGCGUUAAUCGGAAUUACUGGGCGUAAAGCGUGCGCAGGCGGUUCUAUAAGGCAGGUGUGAAAUCCCCGGGCUCAACCUGGGAACUGCAUUUGUGACUGUAGAGCUGGAGUACGGCAGAGGGGGAUGGAAUUCCGCGUGUAGCAGUGAAAUGCGUAGAUAUGCGGAGGAACACCGAUGGCGAAGGCAAUCCCCUGGGCCUGUACUGACGCUCAUGCACGAAAGCGUGGGGAGCAAACAGG